GACGUAGGGCGCGAGCGUUGUCCGGAAUUAUUGGGCGUAAAGAGCUCGUAGGUGGUCUGUUGCGUCCGCUGUGAAAUCUCAGGGCUUAACCCUGAGCCUGCAGUGGAUACGGGCAGACUAGGAGGUAGGUAGGGGAGAAUGGAAUUCCUGGUGUAGCGGGUGAAAUGCGUAGAGAUCUGGAGGAACACCGAUGGCGAAGGCAGCCUUCUGGGCCAACACUGACGCUCAUGCACGAAAGCGUGGGGAGCAAACAGG
rnacentral:rRNA from 1 species